AGCGAACGCUGGCGGCAGGCCUAACACAUGCAAGUCGAACGAACUCUUCGGAGUUAGUGGCGGACGGGUGAGUAACACGAGGGAACGUGCCUUUUGGUUCGGAAUAACUCAGGGAAACUUGUGCUAAUACCGAAUGUGCCCUUCGGGGGAAAGAUUUAUCGCCAUUUGCGCGGCCCGAGUCAGAUUAGCUAGUUGGUGAGGUAACGGCUCACCAAGGCGACGAUCAGUAGCUGGUCUCAGAGGAUGACCAGACAUACUGGUACUGAGACCCGGCCCAGACUCCGUCCGGAGGUCGGCGUGGAGGAUCCUUCCGGCUGGGCCGAACCCUGACGGGGCCAUGCCGCGUGGAUGAUUAAGGUUUUAGGAUUGUACAAUUCUUUCACCGGCGACGAUAAUGACGGUACCCGGAGAAAAAGCCCCGGCUAACUUCGUG
rnacentral:rRNA from 1 species